UGCUGGAAUAGCUCAGUUGGUACAACAUGAGACUCUUAAUCUCAGGGUCGUGGGUCCAAGCCUCACGCUGGGCAA